AAAGGAUAGAAUCCGAAGGGGCAGUGAAGAAGGGUUCACAAGAGAAAGAGAAGGCUGAAAAGACUACUGGACAAGCAUUUGAAAGUGGUUCUGGCAAGAGGAAACAGUUUGGGGGAUCUAGCUCCCAUAGAGGCAGAGGCAGAUUUUCUAGCCAAAGACCACCUCGGUCUGGUCAGCCGACCCAACAAGCUUCUCGAGGAUCUCUAUCGGUUCGGCAGUGUGAAACGUGUGAUAGAACUCAUGGUAGGGUUUGUUUCAAGGCUACUGGUGCAUGUUUUAACUGUGGAGGAAGCGGACAUUUCGCUAAGGAUUGCACUAGUCCGCGCCGGUCUGGAUCUUUUGCCACAUCUGAAGGAUCAACCCAAGUCUCUGCACCUAGAGGGUCACAGUCAGCUGCUAGAGGUAGAGGCAGAGGUAGGGGG
rnacentral:misc_RNA from 1 species